GACGAGGUGGCCGAGUGGUCUAAGGCGAUGGGCUGCUAUCCCAUUGGGCUCUGCCCGCGUGGGUUCGAACCAACCCUCUUCG
rnacentral:tRNA from 1 species